rnacentral:rRNA from 1 species
CGCCAUAUCACGUUGAAACACCGGUUCUCGUACGAUCACCGAAGUUAAGCAACAUCGAGCCUGGUCAGUACCUAGAUAGGUGACCGCUUGGGAAUACCAAGUGGUGUAA